rnacentral:rRNA from 1 species
GACGAACGUUGGCGGCGCGCUUAACACAUGCAAGUCGAACGGAAAGGCCUGCUUUCCCUUGUGGAUUGCGGGUACUCGAGUGGCGAACGGGUGAGUAACACGUGAGUGAUCUGCCCCCAACUUGGGUAUAAGCCUGGGAAACUGGGUCUAAUUCCCGAUAGGACUGCAGGGUGGUGCCUGUGGUGGAAAACGAUUUUCUAGUGGUUGGGGAUGAGCUCGCGGCCUAUCAGCUUGUUGGUGGGGUAAUGGCCUACCAAGGCGGCGACGGGUAGCCGGCCUGAGAGGGUGGACGGCCACAUUGGGACUGAGAUACGGCCCAGACUCCUACGGGAGGCAGCAGUGGGGAAUAUUGCACAAUGGGCGGAAGCCUGAUGCAGCGACGCCGCGUGGGGGAUGACGGACUUCGGGUGGUAAACUCCUUUCGACCGCGAGGAAGCCACCUGGUUGGAAGGGUGGUGACGGUAGUGGUAGAAGAAGCACCGGCUAACUACGUG